AACGAACGCUGGCGGCAUGCCUAACACAUGCAAGUCGAACGAACCCUUCGGGGUUAGUGGCGCACGGGUGCGUAACGCGUGGGAAUCUGCCCUUUGCUUCGGAAUAACUCAGGGAAACUUGUGCUAAUACCGGAUGAUGUCUUCGGACCAAAGAUUUAUCGGCAAGGGAUGAGCCCGCGUAGGAUUAGGUAGUUGGUGGGGUAAAGGCCUACCAAGCCGACGUUCCUUAGCUGGUCUGAGAGGAUGAUCAGCCACACUGGGACUGAGACACGGCCCAGACUCCUACGGGAGGCAGCAGUGGGGAAUAUUGGACAAUGGGCGCAAGCCUGAUCCAGCAAUGCCGCGUGAGUGAUGAAGGCCCUCGGGUCGUAAAGCUCUUUUACCAGGGAUGAUAAUGACAGUACCUGGAGAAUAAGCUCCGGCUAACUCCGUG
rnacentral:rRNA from 1 species